AUAAAGUUUGAUUCUUGCUUGGUAUAUAUUUUAAUAAUAAAAAACAUAUUUAAAUUUUUAUUAGACUAAUAAUUUAUUUAUUUAAAUAAUAAAUAAUAAAAAGAAAUAAAGAAAUAAAGUCGAAGUGUGUAGAAUUAAUAUUAUGAUUAAAUAUUGAAUUAGUAAUUAUUUUAAAUUCUGACUAAAAAUUUGUGCCAGCAGUCGCGGUUAUACUUAGAGAAUGAGUAUAUAAAUAUUGAUAAGUAGUUAAAUAAAAUAUUAAAAUGUAGUUAAUUUAUUAUCUGAGUUAAUAAAAGGUGAAAUUGGAUUAUUAAAUAUUAGUUAAAUAAUUUUUUAAUAUGUAUUGAGGCUAUAAAAUUUGUGAGAUAAACUAGGAUUAGAUACCCUAUUAUACAUAAAUCAAAUAAUUUAAUAUCAGAUUAUUUUUAGUUAUGUUCUUAAAAAUUAAAGAACUUGGCGGUACUUUAGUCUUGUUAGAGGAACCUGUUUUAUAAGUGAUAAACCACGUAAUAUCUUGCUUAAUUUUGUAUUUACAGUAUGUAUACCGUCAUUAUUAGAUAAUUUUUAUAGAAUUUUAAUUAUUGAAAUAAAUAAAAAAUUAGUAUAUUAGAUCAAGGUGCAGCUUAUAGUUAAGUAAAAAUGGGUUACAAUAAGUUUAAUUUAUAUGGAUUAAUUAUUGAAUAAUAAUUAUGAAGGUGGAUUUAAUUGUAAUUUUCAAUUUAAUAAGGGAAAAUGAUAAUAGCUCUAGAUUAUGUACAUAUCGCCCGUCGCUUUCAUUACAAGGUGAAAUAAGUCGUAACAUAGUAGGUGUACUGGAAAGUUUACCUAGAGAGAU
rnacentral:ncRNA from 1 species